CUGGGAGCUCAGGGAGCGCCGAGCGAUAAGGAGGCGGCGGCGCCGCUGGUUUUGCACCUGAUCACCUUUCUAGCAGGAGAACGAUCAUGGAGGUGGUGCCAGCUGAGGUGAAUAGUUUGCUUCCAGAGGAGAUAAUGGACACUGGUAUAACUUUAGUGGAUGAUGAUAGUAUUGAGGCUGUUAUUGUUUCAUCCCCAAUUCCCAUGGAGACAGAACUGGAAGAAAUUGUCAACAUAAAUUCUACUGGUGACUCUACAGCCACACCCAUUUCCUCGGAACCAAUCACAGUGUACAGUAACCACACUAACCAAGUUGCAGUGAAUACCACAAUUACUAAAUCAGAUUCUAAUACCACAGUGAAACCAGCUUUUCCAAGUGACCUUCAAAAACUUGGUGCUCAGACUCCUGUGACUAUAUCAGCCAAUCAGAUUAUUUUAAACAAACAGACAUCUGAUCUUAAACUUGGCAAUCAGACCCUUAAACCAGAUGGACAGAAGUUAAUUUUAACAACUUUGGGCAAGUCUGGUUCACCAAUUGUUUUAGCUCUACCCCAUAGUCAACUACCCCAAGCUCAGAAAGUUACAACUCAGUCCCAGUCAAGAGAUGCUAACUUACCACCACAGCAAAUUAAAGUAGUUACCAUUGGAGGGAGGCCAGAGGUGAAACCUGUCAUUGGUGUCUCAGCAUUGACCCCAGGAAGUCAACUGAUCAAUACUACAACUCAUCCCUCUGUGUUACAGACCCAACAGUUAAAAACAGUACAGAUUGCUAAGAAGCCUCGAACACCAACCUGUGGUCCAGUAAUCAUGAAGCUGAUCUUUGCAAAACCAAUUAAUAGUAAAGCAGUUACAGGACAGACAACUCAAGUAUCACCAUCAGUCAUUGCAGGUAGGGUACUUUCACAGUCUACUCCUGGAACUCCAUCAAAGACCAUUACAAUAUCAGAAAGUGGUGUUAUUGGAUCAACUUUAAAUUCUACAACACAGACACCAAAUAAAAUAGCCAUCUCACCUUUGAAAUCGCCAAAUAAGGCAGUGAAAUCUGCUGUGCAGACCAUCACUGUUGGAGGAGUGAGCACAUCAAAGUUUAAGACAAUUAUUCCUCUGGCAAGUGCUCCCAAUGUCCAGCAGAUUCAAGUGCCUGGAAGCAAGUUUCAUUAUGUCUGACUUGUUACUGCCACAACAGCCAGUAGCUCAACCCAACCAGUUAGUCAGAAUCCCAGUACAAACACUCAGCCUCUUCAGCAAGCAAAGCCAGUGGUUGUUAAUACAACCCCAGUGCGGAUGUCAGUUCCAUUUGUCCAAGCUCAGGCUGUCAAACAAUUUGUCCCCAAACCCAUCAAUCCAACUUCACAAAUAGUAACUACUAGCCAACCACAGCAACGGCUUAUCAUGCCUGCUACCCCACUGCCACAGAUCCAGCCCAACCUCACUAACCUGCCACCAGGUACUGUCCUGGCACCAGCUCCAGGAACAGGGAAUGUGGGUUAUGCAGUGCUUCCAGCUCAGUACGUUACUCAGCUACAGCAGUCUUCAUAUGUGUCUAUAGCAAGCAACUCUAAUUUUACUGGAACAUCUGGUAUCCAGACCCAGGCAAGACUCCCAUUCAAUGGCAUAAUUCCAUCAGAAUCUGCCAGUCGGCCAAGAAAACCCUGCAACUGUACAAAAUUGCUGUGUUUGAAAUUGUACUGUGACUGCUUUGCAAAUGGCGAAUUUUGCAACAAUUGCAACUGUACUAAUUGUUACAACAAUUUGGAACAUGAAAAUGAAAGGCAAAAAGCAAUAAAGGCAUGACUUGACAGAAAUCCAGAAGCUUUUAAGCCUAAGAUAGGGAAAGGAAAGGAGGGAGCCAUCAGAUCGAAGUCACAGCAAAGGAUGUCAUUGCAAACGAUCAGGAUGUCUUAAAAACUACUGUGAAUGCUAUGAGGCAAAAAUAAUGUGUUCCUCAAUAUGUAAAUGUAUUGGCUGUAAGAAUUUUGAAGAAAGCCCAGAAAGAAAGACAUUGUUGCAUUUGGCAGAUGCAGCUGAAGUAAGGGUGCAGCAACAAACAGCAGCGAAGACGAAAUUAUCCUCUCAGAUUUCAGACUUACUUACUAGGCCAACACCAGCUUUGAAUAGUGGAGGAGGAAAGUUGCCAUUUACAUUUGUAACUAAGGAAGUAGCUGAAGCCACAUGUAAUUGCCUUCUCGCCCAGGCACAGCAGGCAGACAAGAAGGGAAAAUCAAAGGCAGCAGCAGAGCGGAUGAUUCUUGAGGAAUUCGGAGGAUGUUUGAUGAGCGUCAUCAACUCUGCAGGAAAAGCAAAAAGUGACCCUUGUGCCAUGAAUUGCUAA